rnacentral:rRNA from 1 species
GACGAACCGUGCGAACGUUAUUCGGAAUCACUGGGCUUAAAGCGCGUGUAGGCGGGGAGGCACGUCCGACGUUGAAAUCCCCCGGCUCAACCGGGGAACUGGCGCGGAUACGACCUUCCUGGAGGGGCGUAGGGGGACCUGGAACUUCCGGUGGAGCGGUGAGAUGCGUUGAGAUCGGAAGGAACGCCCGUGGCGAAAGCGAGGUCCUGGACGCCUACUGACGCUGAGACGCGAAAGCCAGGGGAGCGAACGGG